GCCUAACCGUAAACUUUAACUUACACACCUAUCGCCAGGGAACUACGAGCAAAGCUUAAAACCCAAAGGACUUGACGGUACCCCAAAUCCACCUAGAGGAGCCUGUCCUAUAAUCGAUAACCCCCGUUUAACCUCACCACCUCUAGCUACUCAGCCUGUAUACCUCCGUCGUCAGCUUACCACGUGAGCGAACAUUAGUGAGCUUAAUGCCAAUACACCAACACGUCAGGUCAAGGUGCAGCACAUGAGAUGGGAAGAGAUGGGCUACACUUUCUAACCUAGAAAAUACAAAAGACUACCUAUGAAACCUAGUCUGAAGGCGGAUUUAGAAGUAAAAAGAAACAAGAGUGUUCUCUUUAACUAGGCACUGGGGUGUGUACACACCGCCCGUCACCCUCUUCAAAGCUAAUAAAAAGUUCCUAACUAACUUAUGCCACAUAGAAGAGGCAAGUCGUAACAUGGUAAGUAUACCGGAAGGUGUGCUUGGAAA
rnacentral:rRNA from 1 species